rnacentral:rRNA from 1 species
UUAAAUUGAAGAGUUUGAUCAUGGCUCAGAUUGAACGCUGGCGGCAGGCCUAACACAUGCAAGUCGAACGGUAACAGAAAGCAGCUUGCUGCUUUGCUGACGAGUGGCGGACGGGUGAGUAAUGUCUGGGAAACUGCCUGAUGGAGGGGGAUAACUACUGGAAACGGUAGCUAAUACCGCAUAACGUCGCAAGACCAAAGAGGGGGACCUUCGGGCCUCUUGCCAU